AGAAAGUUCAAGAAAAUAAGAUGUUUUGGCCUGGAAAAGAGAAGAUAUAAUAGACACAGUUGGCCUUAAAAUAUUUGGAGGAGUCUUCAGUAGAAAAAUGAGACAUUCAAGUACAAAGGACAAACUAGGACCAGUGUGGGUCAAUUCCUGCCAGGGCUUCAUCAUCUCUGAUGAAUGAUGAAUGAGCGCUCAUUGCUCCCUAAUUUUGCCUCAUUUCUUACCAUCCCUGCUUUGAUGCCCAUUUCACCAACUGGGAGAGGUCCCUCCUAAUGUGGUAAAUGAUAUUCAACCGGAGGAAGAGCCUGGGGAACAAAUCAACUCAAACCCCACCUGAGACCUCAGAGAGGAUGAGAUAAAGAGAAAUAUGGGAUCCACACCCUGCUCAGAACAUGAAACCCCAUAACUCCGGAAUGCCUGGCAGGAGUGACUUUUCUGAGAAUGGAGCCUGGGACAGCCACCCAACGUGCUGAGUGGAGGUGGCUAAGGACAUUUCCAGCCCAGCAGUCGUCAUGGUUCAUGCGUUGUGGACCUCCGCUUUGGAGUCGAUUGACGUCACCUCCUAGUUCUGCCCCUAGGUUCUGUAAGACCAUCACUGAACCUUCCGGCCCCUUCCCUGGAGACGGAGUAGGUUCUGGAAACCUUCGGGUACCUAUGAUUCCAGGGCAGCAGGCAGAGUACUGGAGGGCGAUCGGGGCUGUGUUGCCCACACCUGAGGCCCAGACUCCACACACACUGCACCAUUUCUCUCCCAUAGUCAACCAUUCUUGAGGUUGCUUCCCUGUGGGGGACUCAGCCCAGUGCUAAGUCCCUCCUUUUUCAUUCUGCCUAAGCCCCUUCCUUCCAGCUCUGCCUUUUCUCCAUCAGCCCCUCAACUCAUCCUUGAUCCCCUCCUCCCGCUCAGCACCUGGGGCUGGGACAGCUCCCCAGGGACGCCCAUAGUCUCAGAGCAUCUGCCCAGCUCCUCAACUGGUAUGAACUGGAGAGUGUGGGUCAGCCUGACAGUUGCUCCUGCCAGGCCUGUGACCUCUAGAAUCCAUCCCUUCUCUCUCCACUCAUGCUCUGGGCCAG
rnacentral:lncRNA from 1 species